rnacentral:rRNA from 1 species
GAUGAACGCUGGCGGCGUGCCUAAUACAUGCAAGUCGAGCGAACGGACGAGAAGCUUGCUUCUCUGAUGUUAGCGGCGGACGGGUGAGUAACACGUGGAUAACCUACCUAUAAGACUGGGAUAACUUCGGGAAACCGGAGCUAAUACCGGAUGAUAUUUUGAACCGCAUGGUUCAAAAGUGAAAGACGGUCUUGCUGUCACUUAUAGAUGGAUCCGCGCUGCAUUAGCUAGUUGGUAAGGUAACGGCUUACCAAGGCAACGAUGCAUAGCCGACCUGAGAGGGUGAUCGGCCACACUGGAACUGAGACACGGUCCAGACUCCUACGGGAGGCAGCAGUAGGGAAUCUUCCGCAAUGGGCGAAAGCCUGACGGAGCAACGCCGCGUGAGUUAUGAAGGUCUUCGGAUCGUAAAGCUCUGUUAUUAGGGAAGAACAUAUGUGUAAGUAACUGUGCACAUCUUGACGGUACCUAAUCAGAAAGCCACGGCUAACUACGUG